rnacentral:misc_RNA from 1 species
GUGUUGGAGGAGUCACGCGGCAGCCAGACCAGGUGUGUAUUGAACAAGUGUACCUGUACAUACCAACAUCAUUAAGUGGGAUCCUCACAUGAGAUGUCCUGGUCACUUGCCAAGAGAGGUUUAGAGCUGUUUGACAGUGAUCUGCCGGAAUAUAGUAAUACUGACAAGAAGACCAAAGGUAACAGGAAGUCGUUGGAGUUGGGUACCCAUCGUCAGGGAGUCAGGAGGGCAGCUAACCAGAAGAGGCAAAGUCAACUGAGGGAUAGAGAAGCAAAGAACCAACUUAUUCAGAAACAAGUAGUCAAUGUUCUAGACCAGUACAAGAAUAAUGCACGAGUCGAUCACACUGUUGACAAUAUUAGACUACUGAAGAAGAUUGACAAGAAGAGAACCCCCACAGAGUAUAUUGAUCAGGUCACAAAUCACCAUCUUAAAGAAUUAGAAAAGAAGGUUGUCGACCAUGAUCUUGUCCAGCGGCAGAAGGGCAACAAGAAACACGGAGCAGGAGAAUCAUCGGUGUUCAGCGACGAAGACUUUGAGAAGAUGAACGAAGAGUGGCUUCGUCUCUACUAACCAACCUCACCUACAGUACUUUGAGCUCUUAACCAUUGCUCAUAAAACUUGCCGAUUCACUUGUUGGAAAUAGUUGUGGCACGAUUGAUGGAGAGGAGAAAAAAGUUCCCAUUACUGUGGAUGUUAAAAAAAUGCCCGACAUGUGUGAUAGUCCACAAAAAUGUGUGUGAACCAAAAACUGAGAGAUUUUCUUAGCAGCUCACGAGGAAAGAUUUUCAGACUUUAAAUGAUUAUGGAUCAUUUAGACUCGACCAAAAUAGCCACUAGUAAUGUUUGGGCAUGACAAAGUGAUCGGCGAGUGUGUGCUUGGAGUGUCAGCGGCCGUGGCGUCGUAUUACCUCGUGUGGGUUGUGGGACUGCCGUUUAUGGACGAGGAUAGUUCCCUAAGACCCUUUUUCCCCGAUCCUAUCAUUGCCAUCGCCACCCCUGCCAUUAUCCUCGUGUUUCUUUUGACACUUACUGGAAUAUAUAUUGUAAGGUCAUUAUACACAGCUUCCUGCACUGAAAGAGACAAGUUAAAGCAACUGUAGUGGUACUGCACUUAUUGACACUGAUUGGCUUUGGCUUUGACUUGCAUGUUAUUUGUUUUUUAAUAAUCAGUUUCAUAUUUUCUGCAACGAGUGCUUAGUUUAUUGUCAUAAUUGAAUAUUA